rnacentral:snRNA from 1 species
GUGCUCACUUCAGCCGCAUGUAUAUGAAAACUGGAAUGAUACAGAGAAGAUUAGCAUGGCACCAUUUAAGGAUAUCACACACACUUGUGAACAACAGUUAAUAAUA